GAUGAACGCUGGCGGCGUGCCUAAUACAUGCAAGUCGAGCGAACGGACGAUAAGCUUGCUUCUCUGAUGUUAGCGGCGGACGGGUGAGUAACACGUGGAUAACCUACCUAUAAGACUGGGAUAACUUCGGGAAACCGGAGCUAAUACCGGAUGAUAUUUUGAACCGCAUGGUUCAAAAGUGAAAGACGGUCUUGCUGUCUCUUAUAGAUGGAUCCGCGCUGCAUUAGCUAGUUGGUAAGGUAACGGCUUACCAAGGCAACGAUGCAUAGCCGACCUUAGAGGGUGAUCGGCCACACUGGAACUGAGACACGGUCCAGACUCCUACGGGAGGCAGCAGUAGGGAAUCUUCCGCAAUGGGCGAAAGCCUGACGGAGCAACGCCGCGUGAGUGAUGAAGGUCUUCGGAUCGUAAAACUCUGUUAUUAGGGAAGAACAUAUGUGUAAGUAACUGUGCACAUCUUGACGGUACCUAAUCAGAAAGCCACGGCUAACUACGUG
rnacentral:rRNA from 1 species